GGGCGAGUAGCUCAGCGGCAGAGCACCUCCCUUACAAGGAGGGGGUCGUAGGUUCAAACCCUGCCUCGCCCA
rnacentral:tRNA from 2 species